GUGGGGAAUCUUCCGCAAUGGACGAAAGUCUGACGGAGCAACGCCGCGUGAGUGAAGAAGGUUUUCGGAUCGUAAAGCUCUUUCGUUAGGGACGAACGUGCUCUUUGUGAAUAAUGAGGAGUAAUGACGGUACCUAAAUAAGAAGCCACGGCUAACUACGUGCCAGCAGCCGCGGUAAUACGUAGGUGGCAAGCGUUGUCCGGAAUUAUUGGGCGUAAAGCGCGCGCAGGCGGGAUAUCAAGUCUGUCUUAAAAGUGCGAGGCUCAACCUCGUGAGGGGACGGAAACUGGUAUUCUUGAGUGUCGGAGAGGAAAGUGGAAUUCCAAGUGUAGCGGUGAAAUGCGUAGAGAUUUGGAAGAACACCAGUGGCGAAGGCGACUUUCUGGACGAUGUCUGACGCUGAGGCGCGAAAGCUAGGGGAGCGAACGGGAUUAGAAACCCUGGUAGUCC
rnacentral:rRNA from 1 species